UACGAAGUGGGCUAGCGUUGCUCGGAAUCACUGGGCGUAAAGCGCACGUAGGCGGAUUGCUAAGUCAGGGGUGAAAUCCUGGAGCUCAACUCCAGAACUGCCUUUGAUACUGGCGACCUUGAGUCCGGGAGAGGUGAGUGGAACUGCGACUGUAGAGGUGAAAUUCGUAGAUAUUCGCAAGAACACCAGUGGCGAAGGCGGCUCACUGGACCGGUAUUGACGCUGAGGUGCGAAAGCGUGGGGAGCAAACAGG
rnacentral:rRNA from 1 species